GCAUGGCUUUCAACGUUAGCAGAGAAACUAGUUGGAAGUUGUUCGCAGCUCUCAUUUUGUUGAGUUAUUUAUGCCCAUGUCCACACUGUUAUGCUUUGGCUAUAGUGAAGAAGGUUGAGCCAAGCAUUGCAAGCGGUGAGGCAUCAAAAGAGGGUGUCCUAGCGGGAAGUAUUCUCUUUGGCAGCACCGUGGAUCGUGCCGAGUCAUUAACGGGGCUUCUUGGCUCUUAUCAAGCAGAUGAUGCAGGAACAGCUGGCCUUUUUUUGGCUAAUUCGGGUUGGGGGCAAAUGGAUACUUCCUUAAAAUGUGGUGAGGACCAGAUGCAACUCAAAGCCAUGGGACCUGGAUCCUCUUACUUCAUGCUUGACAUGGGGGGUGAUGCUCCCAUGGUGCCGAACCAGGUUAAACCACAAUGUGGCUACUCCAUGAAAUACAACUCUUUGGGUCUUGUGUUGAUGGUUCCUUACAACGGCUGUCAUAUGACGCAAGAUAAUGGAUUUUAUAUACUGCCAAUGCAGUGGAAGGGGACCCAAGUCAAACUCUGUUGCCCCAUUAGGUCAAGUCCUGAAACUACACUUGCCCAUGUUCAUCCUACAGCACCACCUACCAAAUCUCAUGAAGAAGCCACUCCACAGACGGAUACGUCAAAGCAGCCUACAGUCCACCAGCAGCAAAUCAUGGAUCAUCCUUUGAAUCAAAACCCAAACUACCAUCAAUAUCAUAACUGGAUUCAUAUGAUGCAGAAGCAAACCAUGGCCUUUCCCCCGCAGCAGCACGAGGCUGUUCCCCCGCAGCAGCACGUUGCUGUUCCCCCGCAACAGGAGGCUGUUCAGCAGCAGCAGCAUAUGGCUGUUCCCCCU